GGAUUAAGAUGGCAAAUACGCACGAAUAUUUCUGGGUUGCAAACUGACCGCACUCCUCCCAUGUUCAGAGAAAGGCAGAACGAUCCAGGCAGGCACCACAAGAAGAGUACGCCUGAAAUGAACUCCAGAUCCUCAUGCGUCACGUUUCUUGGAAGUCGAGCUCAUCCAUCCUAAGUACAGGAAUAAAAAAGGAAACACACACAAGUUGAUUGAUUUUGUUGAAAUGACCGCAGAUAGAAAAUGUCUGCGUAAGGAAUCGCUUGGAAAGUCUGCCAUACAUGGAGGCGUCAGAUAUACCCAGAAGGAAAGAGGAACCAUGAUAUAACAAAAGCGAGCAAGACGGAAGACGCCCACUGCAGUGAGAAGACGACCACAGCGCCUCGCAAACGACGGCAACGCAGUAAGAGGAAAUUCCGGCAGUGAGCAGUGGAGCAGAGAGAAGGAAGGACGGAUGGACGGACGGCGGGGGGCAGCGGGGGCAAGGCGGGGCGGGGCGUAGUGGCGAGGAGAGAAAGGAGAAAGGGAGGAGACAGCGGUACAGAACAAGAAGCGGACUGGACAGUAACCACGCGGCUAUCAAGCAAGCAGACGACCAAGGAAGAGGCAAGGAAGGGAUAAGGAAUAGUAUGCGGGGGACGAAACGGGAAGGAGGAGAAGGAGUAGGAGGAACACACGCGUACCCAAGUACAGGGCAGUCUCUUGAGCCUGCACAGUUCCAUUAGAUCUGGUCUUAGGAAUCAACUGUGAGCGUUCGAUGGCUGUAGGAUUUCAUAUCGUUGUUAAGGGCUAUUAUUGAUGACAUUAAUGGAGGAGGCGAGGCAGCAGUGAGAGGAAAUUCAAUGUUAGGAUACACUUGGGAUGACUUAAGGGAUCGCUCAGCUGGACGCCCAAGUCAAGGCAUAUAAUCUUGGUGUUGUUGCCGCCUCUCUGCCUACCUCCGUCUUCCCCCCCCCCCCACCCCGCCUACCACUCACUCACUCCCUUCCUGCCUGCCUGCCUGCCUUCCUUCCUUCCCAUCCAGCCGUCCGUUCAUGUUUAUUUCUGUAUCGCUAGUUACUCCGUCUAUAGAUUUCAGGCUUUCUUUCUUUUGUCUACUUGU